GAUGAACGCUAGCUACAGGCUUAACACAUGCAAGUCGAGGGGAAACGCCAUCGUAAGCUUGCUUUUGAUGGGCGUCGACCGGCGCACGGGUGAGUAACGCGUAUCCCACCUGCCCACCACUUGGUGAUAACCUUGCGACAGUAAGCCUAAUACCCCAUGAUAUCUCUAGAAGACAUCUGAAAGAGUUUAAAGAUUUAUCGGUGCUGGCUGGGGAUGCGUCUGAUUAGCUUGUUGGCGGGUUAACGGCCCACCAAGGCAACGAUCAGUAGGGGUUCUGAGAGGAAGGGCCCACACAGUGGAACUGAGACACGGGCCAAACUCCUACGGGAGGCAGCAGUAAGGAAGAUAGAAGAAGGGACGAGAGUCUAAACCAGCCAAGUAGCGUGCAGGAAGACGGCCCGAUGGGUUGUAAACUGCUUUUAGAAGGGAAUAAAGUGAGUUUAGUGAGAGUUUUUGCAGGUACCGGAUGAAUAAGGACCGGCUAAUUCCGUG
rnacentral:rRNA from 1 species